AAUUUUCGGCUAUGGGGGCAACCCUGACCGAGCGACGCCGCGUGAGUGAAGAAGGUCUUCGGAUUGUAAAGCUCUGUAGUAAGGGAAGAACCGUACCAUUAGGGAAUGACUGGUACUUGACGGUACCUUACCAGCAAGCCGCGGCUCACUACGUGCCAGCAGCCGCGGUAAUUAGUAGGUGGAAAGCGUUAUCCGGAAUUCUUGGGCGUAAAGGGGGCGCAGGCGGCUUAGUAAUUCUGAGGCUAAAGUUCGGGGAUCAUCCCCGUGAUGCCUUAGAAACUGGUAGGCUAGAGUGCAGGAGAGGUGGGUGGAAUUCCAUGUGUAGCGGUAAAAUGCGUAGAUAUAUGGAGGAACACCAGUGGCGAAGGCGGCUCACUGGCCUGUAACUGACGCUGAGGCUCGAAAGCGUGGGGAGCAAAUA
rnacentral:rRNA from 1 species